CCUACGGGAGGCAGCAGUGGGGAAUAUUGGGCAAUGGGCGCAAGCCUGACCCAGCAACGCCGCGUGAAGGAAGAAGGCUUUCGGGUGGUAAACUUCUUUUGUCAGGGAAGAGCAGAGGACGGUACCUGUCGAAUAAGCCACGGCUAACUACGUGCCAGAAGCCGCGGUAAUACGUAGGUGGCAAGCGUUGUCCGGAUUUACUGGGUGUAAGGGGCGUGUAGCCGGGCUGACAAGUCAGAUGUGAAGUCCGGGGGCUAAACCCGCGAACUGCAUUUGAAACUGUUGGUCUGGAGUAUAGGAGAGGCAGGAGGAAUUCCUAGUGUAGCGGUGAAAUGCGUAGAUAUUAGGAGGAACACCAGUGGCGAAGGCGGCCUGCUGGACGACAACUGACGGUGAGGCGCGAAAGCGUGGGGAGCAAACAGGAUUAGAUACCCUUGUAGUC
rnacentral:rRNA from 1 species